rnacentral:lncRNA from 1 species
CAUGGGACACCCUAACUUAGCGCACAAGAAAUGUGAAAUAUCAUGUGCCGCCCUAACUUAUCCAGUCCGAUACGGAGGGCGCCGAUGCAGUAGAUGCCGUUGCAGCGGGCGGCUCUGUUAUCUGAUUGGGCGCCAGCGAUCGCAUGAUCUUGUUUAUGCGUAGGCGGCUCUUAUCUCUUGUGAGCGCGGACGGCUCGCCGGCUAGGUUUCGGUGUAGGUUUAGAAGUAAGCUUUAGUUUAGAAUUGGACGAAUAAAUGAACGGAGCGUUCACAUAAACUCCGACACGAGUCGUAAAACGUGUAUUGAUAUAAUCAUAUUGUUGAGCCUUAAGGGCCAACGAAAUAGAGGGCAAUUACCCUCUCAACAUAAUCUUCGGUAGAAGACUCAGUUGCCAACCGCAACCACCGUCCCCCGCUACAAGAGCGGGCCACGGGAACCCGAUCGCUGCCGCCGGAGCCAACGCAACGCAUACCGCAGCUCGGACCAAAAACCGCCAUAAGAUAAUUGGCGCCCAACGGGAUUUAGGAUCCACGUCCCCAAGAAAAAUAACAUGUAAGUGACUGUUCGGAAAAAAUAAAGCUUGUGAGAGACUUUUUAUCUCCCCUUCGCUGAUCGUUCAUGAGUUGGGACUAUAGAAACAAGGUCGAACAUAGACUUAUUGUACCAGCCACCAGUCAGAACAGUGCAGAAUCAAUUUAAAAUGGACCCAGCCACGAUAAAAGCGUUAGUAGAAGGCGCAAUCAACACAGCCCUCGUCGAACAGGAACGACGACUGAGUGCAGAAUUUAGCAGGGAACUCGAAAAAGUUAGAAAUAGUGUGAGCGCUCUAACUGUAGGUGUCCCUCAGGUGGAAACUUAUAAGAGAGUGACCAUUGACCCUAGUAUAAAAUGUGAAAUGAAACUAGAUAUCAUAAAAUCAGUACCAACUUUCAACGGGAAUCAUGAGGAAUAUGUGUCUUGGAGACAAUCUGCUGUAGAUGCAUACGAAGUUUUCAAAAACUACUCUGGUAGUCAGACACACUACGAGGCUGUGGCCAUCAUAAAAAAUAAAAUCUGUGGAACAGCUCGAGCAUUGCUCACAUCGCACAACACGGUGCUCAAUUUUGAUGCAAUCAUAGCUAGACUCGAUUGCACAUAUGCGGACAAAACAUCCCUACGAGUAUUACGUCAACACUUGGAAAUGGUUAGGCAGGGUGAAACCGAUCUAAUGGAAUAUUAUGACGAAGUCGAGAGAAAGCUCACGCUCGUCACUAACAAAGUGGUCAUGACUCAUAAUGAGGAGGCAGCUACCAUUCUCAACGAGGAAAUUAGGAAUGAUGCUUUACACGCAUUCAUAGCGGGCCUCAAGAGGCCGCUAAAAUUGUUCGUUCUCCCGGCACAGCCCAAGGAUUUGCCAUCCGCCUUAGCUCUAGCUCGCGAGGCCGAAAAUAGCAUUGAGAGAAGCGCAUUUGCCGCUACGUAUGCAAAGGUGAUCGAGGAUAAAAACCAUUCAGGCGACGGCAAUAGACAGGGUCAUCGGGCCCAGGCCAGACAAGGUAGAGGUCAGGAAAAGAACCCACAUUUUGUGGGAAAAAGUAAUCAAAAUAGGCAGCAACAGGGUGAUCCUUGGCCAAAGCCAAACGAUAAAGAGGCCCCACAACAAAACCAAGUGCAGCCUAUGGAAGUUGACCCAUCGAUGUCUAGGUUUAGGCAACAGACCAAUUGGGGGAAACCACAGAGCGACGUCACACAGGGCGAAGCUCAGAAAAGGCGGAACACGUCAGAUCGUAUAUCUGGGCAAAGACGCCAACGGAUAAAUAAUAUAAUACAGCAGGCCCCUAACCAAGGGGAACAAGAAUUUUUUAGGGAGCGCUCCCAAUUGCCGUUCGUCGAGCGACAGUUGGCUGGCAAAACACUAAAAAUUUUAAUCGACACUGGUGCGGCUAAAAAUUACAUAAAGCCCAUAAAGGAGCUGAAAACCGUAACUUCGGUCGACACCCCCUUCACCGUGAGUUCGUACAUGGCUCCAGUGAAAUAAAAAACAAGUGCCUAAUGAAUAUUUUCGGGCAAAACGCCCCAUUUUUUUUGUUAGACACUCUAGCUACGUUCGAUGCCAUUAUAGGUUCCGAUUUGCUAACGCGAGCGGGAGCGGCAUUGAACCUGCGCAGCGGAACAAUCAGAUACGGAAACGUAACUGAACAACUUAGGUUCCAUAACUGUGACAACGUAAAUUUCACCAAAGUCGAUGACCUGGUGGUCCCAGGCUCGGUAAAAUCCGAGUUCAAAAAGAUGAUACUGAAGAGAAUUCAAGUUUUUUCGACCUCUAACGAGGCGCUUCCCUUUAACACCUCAGUCGUCGCCACCAUCCGAACUGUGAAUGACGAACCAGUCUACUCGAAAUUAUACCCCUACCCUAUGGGAGCAGCAGACUUCGUUAACAAAGAAGUCAAAGAACUGCUGAAGGACGGCAUAAUCAGGCCAUCUAGGUCGCCAUACAACAGCCCAAUUUGGGUUGUAGACAAAAAGAAAUCUGACGUCAAAGGCAACAGGAAAAAGCGGCUGGUAAUCGACUUCAGAAAACUGAACGAGCGAACAAUUGCCGAUCGAUACNCCCCCUUCACCGUGAGCUCGAUACAUGGCUCCAGUGAAAUAAAAAACAAGUGCCUAAUGAAUAUUUUCGGGCAAAACGCCCCAUUUUUUUUUGUUAGACACUCUAGCUACGUUCGAUGCCAUUAUAGGUUCCGAUUUGCUAACGCGAGCGGGAGCGGCAUUGAACCUGCGCAGCGGAACAAUCAGAUACGGAAACGUAACUGAACAACUUAGGUUCCAUAACUGUGACAACGUAAAUUUCACCAAAGUCGAUGACCUGGUGGUCCCAGGCUCGGUAAAAUCCGAGUUUAAAAAGAUGAUACUGAAGAGAAUUAAAGUUUUUUCUACCUCUAACGAGGCGCUUCCCUUUAACACCUCAGUCGUCGCCACCAUCCGAACUGUGAAUGACACAAAACCAGUCUACUCGAAAUUAUACCCCUACCCUAUGGGAGCAGCAGACUUCGUUAACAAAGAAGUCAAAGAACUGCUGAAGGACGGCAUAAUCAGGCCAUCUAGGUCGCCAUACAACAGCCCAAUUUGGGUUGUAGACAAAAAGAAAUCUGACGUCAAAGGCAACAGGAAAAAGCGGCUGGUAAACGACUUCAGAAAACUGAACGAGCGAACAAUUGCCGAUCGAUACCCUAUGCCGAGCAUACCCAUGAUUCUAGCGAACUUGGGAAAGACAAGAUUUUUUACUACCCUAGAUCUAAAAUCAGGGUACCACCAGAUAUACAUGGCGGAAAAAGACCGUGAAAAAACUUCGUUUUCAAUUAACGGAGGGAAAUACGAGUUUUGCCGGUUACCCUUUGGACUAAAGAAUGCUGGGAGCAUUUUCCAAAGGGCAAUCGACGAUGUUCUACGAGAACAAAUUGGGAAAAUAUGUUAUGUCUAUGUAGAUGAUGUAAUAAUUUUUUCCGAAAACGAAAAUGAUCACGUUAAACACAUCGACACAGUGCUAAAACGCCUCUGCGAUGCAAACAUGAGAGUGGCCCCAGAAAAGACAAAGUUCUUUAAAGAAAGCGUAGAGUUCUUAGGCUUCAUAGUUACCAGGGGAGGAGCCAAGACCGACCCAGAAAAAGUAAGGGCAAUAAGGGAAUACACUGAACCCAAAACACUGUUCAACCUCAGGUCCUUCCUCGGGCUGGCCAGCUAUUUCAGGAGCUUUGUCAGAGAUUUCGCGACAAUAGCGAGACCCUUAACCGCAUUACUCAAAGGAGAAAAUGGCACAGUCAGCAAACACAUGUCCAAGAAAGUUGCGAUUCAGUUCGGUGAAACGCAACGCAUUCGACCGUCUGCGAAACAUUUUGGCGUCAGAGGACGUCAUCCUUACGUACCCUGAUUUCAAACUACCCUUUGAUCUAACUACCGAUGCCUCAGCAAGCGGCAUGGGGCGGUCCUGUCCCAAAACGGCAGGCCAAUCACAAUGAUCUCGCGAACACUAAAAGAUUGUGAAGUAAACUACGCCACAAACGAAAGGGAAUUGAUGGCAAUUGUAUGGGCUAUAGGGAAGUUACAAAAUUACUUAUACGGUACCAAGGAAGUAAGAAUCUUUACCGAUCACCAGCCCUUAACAUUUGCUGUGUCCGAUAGGAACACAAAUUCCAAAAUCAAACGGUGGAAAGCCUUUAUAGAGGAACAUAACGCUAAGGUGUUCUACAAACCGGGUAAGGAAAACUUCGUGGCCGACGCCCUGUCCAGACAAAACAUUAAUAACCUACACGAAGAGCCUCAGUCCGAUGCUGCCACGGUGCACAGCGAGCUCUCUCUGUCCUACACAGUGUUUUACUCAACUGUUUCAGAAACCAAAUAAUUCUAGAAGAAGCUAGCCAGCCUCUACGGCGAAACUUCAUAAUUUUCGGCGGAAAAACCCGCCACAUUAUUCACUUCAACGAUAAGGACUCACUAAUUAAGUCAGUAAAGGAGGUGGUCAAUUCCAAGGUCGUGAAUGCAAUCCACUGUGAUCUUCCGACCUUAGCUACCCUCCAACAUGCUCUGGUGCUGGAGUUUCCCGCAACCAAGGUUUGGCAUUGCAAAAACUUCGUGAACGAUAUCACAGAUGCAAGCGAGCAGGCUGAAAUAAUUACAGCCGAACACAAUCGCGCCCAUAGGGCCGCCCAAGAAAAUGUUAAGCAGGUCCUUCGUGACUACUUUUUCCCGAAAAUGACCAAACUUGCUAACGAGGUGGUUAGGAACUGCAGAGUCUGCACCAAGGCAAAGUAUAACAGACACCCAAAAAAACAAGAGCUGGGGGUCACCCCUGUUCCGUCAUACGCCGGAGAAAUGCUGCACAUUGACAUAUUCUCCACAGACAAGAAACUUUUUUUGACCUGCAUCGACAAGUUCUCAAAGUUUGCCAUACUACAGCCCCUCUCUUCCAGGGCUAUAGUAGAGGUACGAGCCCCCAUUAUACAAUUGAUCAAUUUGUACCCGAAUACCAAGAUCAUAUAUUGUGACAAUGAGCCUUCCUUCAACUCCGAAACAAUUACCUCUUUGCUUAAAAACCAAUAUGGCAUCGACAUCGUAAAUGCACCCCCUCUACAUAGUAGCUCCAACGGGCAAGUAGAGAGAUUUCACAGCACGUUGGCAGAGAUAGCAAGGUGCAUAAAAAUCGACCAAAAGAUUGAGGACACCGUCGAGCUAAUCAUGCGCGCCACUGUAGAAUACAACAGGACGCUACAUUCGGUCAUAGACCAGAAGCCUGUAGAAGCAAUCCAUGUAAGCAACAACGAUCUGAAGUUAGCAAUUAGAACCAGAAUUGAUAAGGCACAAAAGGCCAAUAUCGACAGGUUUAACAUCUCGAGGCAGAACAGAGUCUUUGAAGUGGGUGAAAAGGUUUACCCAAGGAAUAACAAAAGACUAGGGAACAAGCUAACCCCGCUGUACUCAGAAGAACGGGUACAAGCGGACCUUGGAACGGCAGUUCUAAUUAAGGGGAGGGUGGUCCAUAAGGACAAUCUGAAAUAAUUCAAACUUUUGUUUUACAGAUUUAAGGUAUCAUUCCCGCAGGUUUGACGGAAUACUCUUCCUACUCCCUUCUACUACAACUGCGCGGAUCAUCGCCUUUUAUACAGUUAAAAUGUUGGAGUUGUUCCCACAUUCAGAUAUAGAACAUAAAAAAAUCCGUUGUCCGCUUUAAUGAUACAUGGCCAGAAGCCUAGACUUCCUGAUAACAGCAUUAAAGGUCGUAGCAAGUACCCCCGACGAGUUGGGCUUCGAAAAAAUAGCAGCUUGUAGAAUCAUAGACUGAUUAACUGAGUACUGAUUAACACAGAGGCACAGAAACAGGAUGCUAAUUUCGGUAGUCCAAAUCUCAUGAUUANNNNNNNNNNNNNNNNNNNNNNNNNNNNNNNNNNNNNNNNNNNNNNNNNNNNNNNNNNNNNNNNNNNNNNNNNNNNNNNNNNNNNNNNNNNNNNNNNNNNNNNNNNNNNNNNNNNNNNNNNNNNNNNNNNNNNNNNNNNNNNNNNNNNNNNNNNNNNGAACAGAGUCUUUGAAGUGGGCGAAAAGGUUUACCCAAGGAAUAACAAAAGACUAGGGAACAAGCUAACCCCGCUGUACUCAGAAGAACGGGUACAAGCGGACCUUGGAACGGCAGUUCUAAUUAAGGGGAGGGUGGUCCAUAAGGACAAUCUGAAAUAAUUCAAACUUUUGUUUUACAGAUUUAAGGUAUCAUUCCCGCAGGUUUGACGGAAUACUCUUCCUACUCCCUUCUACUACAACUGCGCGGAUCACCGCCUUUUAUACCGUUAAAAUGUUGGAGUUGUUCCCACAUUCAGAUAUAGAACAUAAAAAAAUCCGUUGUCCGCUUUAAUGAUACAUGGCCAGAAGCCUAGACUUCCUGAUAACAGCAUUAAAGGUCGUAGCAAGUACCCCCGACGAGUUGGGCUUCGAAAAAAUAGCAGCUUGUAGAAUCAUAGACUGAUUAACUGAGUACUGAUUAACACAGAGGCACAGAAACAGGAUGCUAAUUUCGGUAGUCCAAAUCUCAUGAUUACGAUCACACUUGCCAAAGCGAAUAUCCCACUAAGACCUAAAAUCUAUUUUUACCGAACAGCUCACAGAGGUCCCAGU